rnacentral:misc_RNA from 1 species
UCCGAGUUGACCCCGGCAGUCUCCUAUGAGUCCCCACCAUUACGUGCUGGCAACAUGGAACGAGGGUUGCGCUCGUUGCGGGACUUAACCCAACAUCUCACGACACGAGCUGACGACAACCAUGCACCACCUGUAAACCGGCCCCGAAGGGAAGGACUGUUUCCAGCCCGGUCCGGCCCAUGUCAAGCCCAGGUAAGGUGGGGAUGACGUUCGUCUGAC